UCUCUGAUAGUAUAUCGGUUAGUACACGCGCCUGUCAUUUCUAUGGUACUACUGGUGUAUGUUAUCGCGCGAAAGCUGGGUUCGACUCCCAGUCAGAGAG